AACCACUUCCCCCUAUCUCCAUUCCUCUCUGUUCCUUCUUGGCUGUGCUACAAAGCAGACGCCAUGUGCUAUCUUGGUGAACCAUGUUACUCUGUUGCUUCCUUUUCUUCCUUGGUGGAUGUGAUGUUGUAAUGGCUCACUGCUGCAAGUUCUAGAUGUGAAGGCCUAACCGUGGGUGAGAUCAAACAUGUGGGGAGGGGGAUUACAAUAUAGAUAGAUUUAAAAAGGGUUGUUGCUCCGUGGGUCUGGGCUGUGUGUGAUACAUUUAUAGUAUUGUGUUGUUGCCUUUUAAUAAAUACGAACCUUGUGUAAUAUAUAUAUAUUAAUUUGGUGAUACACCACAUUUGGCGACCACAAAUUUUAGACUUCUACAAAGGUUAUUUAUGAGGUAAUAACACAUUAAUAGAUAAUCAGAUUUAUUUUUUUGGGGGGGAGAAAAAAAAAUGUACUUUGUUUUAAUUAUCCUCUGUAUGGGAAAUCAAGGGCUGAUUGUGUGUGGAGUCUAGUUUGGGCCUCCAAUUUUAAUAUACUAGCUUAGGCAUUAGGCCUCAAUUUUGAAUAUAUUAGUUUGUGUGUUUCAAAUACCUGAGUUUGUUGUGUUUUGACUACCAUUAGUUCACGCCUAGUAGUUUUUCAGGCCUUCAUUUUUUUUAAUACACUACCAGCAUAGGCCUCAAGUUUGAAUAUAUUAUUGUUUUUAAUCCUUUAUAUUGUACUAGCUUAUUACAUAAAACAAAGGUAUUAUACAGGUUGUUUUUGUGGGUUUCAAAUAUCUGAGUUGAGUUUUGUUGUGUUUUGACUAUCAGAGUACAGGUCUAGACCUGCAUUAUAAUAGGCUUCCAUGCUGCUUCUUUUUGUAUUUGAAUGCUGAUUUGAUUACCAUAGUUCAGGCCUAGUAGUUUUUUUUCAGGCCUUCAUUUAAUACACUACCAGCAUAGGCCUCAAUUUUGAAUAUAUUAAUCCUUUUUUUGUACUAGCUUAUUUUGCUACAUAAAACAAAGGUAUAAA